AUACGUAGGGUCCGAGCGUUGUCCGGAAUUAUUGGGCGUAAAGGGCUCGUAGGCGGUUUGUCGCGUCGGGAGUGAAAACUCAGGGCUCAACCCUGAGCGUGCUUCCGAUACGGGCAGACUAGAGGUAUGCAGGGGAGAACGGAAUUCCUGGUGUAGCGGUGGAAUGCGCAGAUAUCAGGAGGAACACCGGUGGCGAAGGCGGUUCUCUGGGCAUUACCUGACGCUGAGGAGCGAAAGCAUGGGGAGCGAACAGGAUUAGAUACCCUGGUAGUCCAUGCCGUAAACGUUGGGCGCUAGGUGUGGGGACCUUCCACGGUCUCCGUGCCGCAGCUAACGCAUUAAGCGCCCCGCCUGGGGAGUACGGCCGCAAGGCUAAA
rnacentral:rRNA from 1 species